rnacentral:rRNA from 1 species
ACGUAGGGUGCGAGCGUUAAUCGGAAUUACUGGGCGUAAAGCGUGCGCAGGCGGUUUUGUAAGACAGAGGUGAAAUCCCCGGGCUCAACCUGGGAACUGCCAUUGUGACUGCAAGGCUGGAGUGCGGGAGAGGGGGAUGGAAUUCCGCGUGUAGCGGUGAAAUGCGUAGAUAUGCGGAGGAACACCGGUGGCGAAGGCGGUCUCCUGGGCCGGCACUGACGCUCAUGCACGAAAGCGUGGGGAGCGAACAG